GCUUUGCCGCUCCUUCUCUGCUAUCCUAAUCCCGUAAUUUUCUCACAGAUGCGAGCGCAGAUAGCUGCCGCCGCCCACCGCUCCUCUACUUCCCAUGGGCCCGAGCAAACGUAGCCAACCACCCGAGGCAACGGAGAGGCGAGUGGCGGAGGAAGGGAGAGAAAGACGGGGGAAUGGGGUGAUGGCGUCGGCAGCGGCGGGGGUGGAGACGAUGCGGGCGGCGCACAUCCCAAUCAGGCACGAGUAGUCCCGGCGCGAGGCAUCCUGGAAGGACCCCGAGGGCGGGUCAUUUCCGCCACUACGCGUGCCGAUUCCGCCCCGCGUCUCGGCGAGCUCCACGACCAGAUCCUCGCCGUCUGCGCCUCCUUCGCCGACCUUGCCGCGCACCGCGGACCCCGCCAAAGGGCCGACCAUGCAAUGGCAGAUUCAGUAUUGGUUGGCGAUGGUUAAGAUCAACCCGUGUGGUCAGCAGUAUUGGUACGAUUCCUUUCCUUUGGGUGGUUAAUUCCAUGGCCACGUUGUUAACCAGUAGAAAGAUACAUUCGAAAAAAUGAGCUGGAUAGAAAUAUGUUCUUGUGGAAGUCACGGGCAUGAAUGUUUCGUUUCACUCAUCCUCUUAUAUUUGUAGGCCUAUUUAUGAAUCAAUAUAUACUGUAGGCCUAGAUCCAUCUUACUUCAUAACAAAUAUUGUUGAUUGGUCGGUGGGAUAUGAUUUUGUGAAAUUACUUCCAUACGAACAGUGAGAAAUAUCUUAAUUCUCGCUUAUAUUGCUCUCGACUCCCAUUGGAUUGCAGUAUAUAUAUCAUUUUUGUUAUAUUACACGAACCCCUUUUAUUUGUUAAAGUUGGGUAAAUCCAUUGUUAGAGUCCUCAUACGCCACUAUAUAUUGUAUUGAAUUAGUUCGAUGGAAAUGAUAAUGUGAUAUUACAAAUCAUAUUUGGGAAAAGGCGAGCGAGUGUGGCAUGAUGUAUAUCUCAGAGUUAACACGAUUUGCUGAUUAACCAAGUCAUGAUUUUUUAGUUUUAUUCCACCACCGAAACAAUAACAUAUCUGCCUACACUUGGUGCUUCAGUUACCCGAUUUAAGUUGUAGUUAUUUUAAGAUGUUAUUUAGGUGGGUGUACCAUGUACCAUAUACAAUAUUUUUCAGCUAGGUUGGUAGUUGGUCUUUCUGUCCUGUGAGCUUAUUGAUUCAUCUGAUUAACAGAUGUUGGGUGGUGUUUUUUGGUCAGACAAGGUGGAGUUCAUUCUUGUAAUUGUAUACUGUAUGGUUCUGUUCAUAUGUUUUGCUCUAAUAGAUUGAUGAAAAUACAUGUCAAGCUAUUUUAUCACAAGAUUCCUACAUCGAUAAUUCAAAUGGACCUAACAUAUUGGGAACCUUUUCCUGGACUAUCCUCAUAAUGGAUGUCCAAUUCUUGCAUUCAGAGGCUACUGAGACCAUGGGCAAGAAGGAAUCAACAUUGGUACCAAUGCUGAAAUAUUUUUUGCAAGUCUCAAGCAUGGUUUCUUUCUGAUUGUGAGGAUGAAUUUUACAAAGAGGAUGUUUGAGAAGGUAAUCACAUAACUAUACAUGUUUUCUAAGCAUCUAAGAGGAUUACAUGUUCAGUUUCGUGCUGCAAUUUUAGAGCUUGAUUCUAGAAGUAAGGGUGCCCUCCUUUGAUAUACCUGGUUUGUGAAGAGGUGAUCGUGUGGCUGAAGAAUGAUGUUAAUGGUUGGAAGUGUUCCAACCAGGAAGCAUUCGGGUGGUGCCUGCGUUGGACACAGUGUUUUUUACGAUGAGACCAUUCAUGUGGAACUUUUCGGGGAGCAGAGUAAGAGCGAGCAAAACUAUGGGUUGAAUUUGUUGUGCUAAAGGGACCGACAUAAUGCAUUGUUGAGUUCUGAAUUCAUCAAGUUUGUGUCAGCUGUGCUGGAAGGUUAGUGUGCAGAAUUUGUGAAGUGUUAUAUACACAAACCAGUACAUUCUUCUUUCGGAAGGAGCUGUUUGCUUUGCUGGUGCUAAGGCACUUUGGAAUAGCUGGGUGCCAUUGAACUGCAAUUCAUUUGCUUGGCUUCGCAACAUCGAGUAUGGACAUCGGAUCGUCGGGUCAGAAGAGAGCUGCAGGUACAUAUUUGGCCCUGUUUUCUUUGAGCAGGAAGAGGACAUUGCGACCUCAUCCCGCUUCAGUGCGUAUAUACUCGACAGAUAUGGUAUCGAUGUCUUCGAUCGACUCAUCUUGAUGCUGUCCCUGCCCCUUCUGUCAUCGAUAAUAUUCCGGAUUGGUGGGGAGGUCUCGCCAGUUUAUUUCCAAAGCUAAAUAAUGUGGUUUUGAUUCUCUUGUGAUGCUUGUGUGCUAUAGCCUAUGAAAGCAACACAAUGCUAGGGCGUUCAACAAUGCUCAGCUUCAAGUCAACGAGGCAACACUCUGUGUUCUCAUUCUUUGUGACCUAAUUGCAUGAGGAAAUAGGAUGGCUGGAUUAUGUGAGUAGUCAUUGUGAUAUGUGUUGGUGGUGGAGCGUGGAUGUCGUCCCCCUUUGGGGUGCUCUUGUAACUUGUGUUCUCUUCUAUAAAAUUAUGGUACAAAUUUGCAUACUCUCCAUAAAAAUAUACACAAACCAAAGAGAAAUUAUAUCACUGCCCUUACACAAUUUAUUGCAGGUAGGUGGAACGAACUUCUUAAAUCAUUCCUGCAUAUAAGCAAUUCACUAUAUUCUAUUCAUUUCACUUGAUAUACCAUUUCAUAAUUUAUGUUCAAUUUUUUUAGUUCAAGAAAUUGUUUGGAUGAACUACGCUAUGGAAAAUGUGGUAUUUUUUACUGUUCAAGUAUAAUUAGUUCUUUUAUGUUUAUAGAGAGACGUCCAUGAUUACUAGGUAUUGGUACACAUGCUGACAUCACUUCCAGGGUUCAGUUUAGCAAGAAGACCAAUUACACCUACAAUGUCCAUUCUUACAGCACCUUGGCUUGGCAAACAAGAAGACUCAAUGCAGCCAGCUGCUGAGUAGGAGAUGACUAUUGACCUCUCGACAACCAAGACAAAGAGACGCACAACAAGCCAAGAACAGGAAGAUGAAGUAAGUGCUAAGCUUAUUUUGUGUGUGAGUUGGUAUAUCGUUUCCAUCAUUCUAGAUUUGUUGUAAGAGUAUGGAGUUGAAUACGAUGAAUGAUGAGCUCACCAGACAAGCACACGUUUUGUCUAUAUACCAUGACUAGGUUUUCAAAAUAGAUUGAGACACCCCCUACUUUUCUUUAGAGACGAAGUUGUAUGCCAUUUAUGCCGGUAGUAGAUAUAUUUAUCAAAGUUAAAGAGACCAAUCUUAAAAAAACAUCCUAUUUUGUGCGAAUUUUUCUUAAGCAUAUAGUUUCCCCGUCCAUAAUAUAAGAGUGUUUUUAACACUAGAUUAGUGCGAAAAAUGCUCUUAUAUUAUGGGAUGAAGGGAGUAGUAGACAAAAGAUAUGUCUGGGUUUCUUUCGGUUGUAUUGCAGCACUUCAGUUGUUGCUCUUGGUUCUUUUACCACAAAAGUUGAACAUAAAAUUUGUAAGGUCUCUUGUGUUUGAUUGUAUACAUCAGCUGAGACAUGCCUUGUGAGCAUUAUUACUCAUUAUACCCAUGUUCAUCAUGUGUAUGGAUGGAGACGUGCGUUGCACGUGCACACUUACUAGUCUGGUGAAACGAGGGAAUUGGAUGCACCGAAUGCACCAGCGGUAUAUGGGCCAUUGGAUGCAAAAAGCAGGGACAUGACGAGUUAGAAGGUGGGCCUGAUGGUACAUUUGCAAAAGGAUCCUUGCAGUGUAGUUAAAUCAAGCGAAUUGACCUCCCCCACACUCAGUUCGUCUCUGUCCCCUUCCAUCUCCUAUACCAGCGCAGCCGCCGUCGCCGCCGAGCUAGGGUUAAGGUCCAGCUGAAGAGCUGAUCUCCCUCCCUCGAGAUCUUCACUGAACCCAAUCGCCUCUCUCUCCCUCUUCUGUACCACCGUGGCAGGCGAGUUAGGGUUAGUAAAUUUCGUCAAUCUCUCAAUCUUGUACCAAUCGAGCGUCGUCUCACUCAAAUACAUAGGAGUGAUCUGCUUUUUUGAAAUUUCUAGCAGCAGCCUACCACCGUAACAUCUAAAGAGUGCCUUGAUUUCGAUUUUGGCAGUGGUGGCUCAUUGUGAGUAUGCAUUGGUGACUCAAUCUACUGCCACUGCCGUCUGCAUCAACUCAAGGAUCUUGAUAUAUUUGCUUCGUCCUUUAUCCAUGUGUUAAGGUCAUUUUUGUUCUUACAAUUUCGUCCACACCUUUCCCCCCAAUCUGUUUAAACCAGUGGCCGGGAGAUGAGCAUGAGCAAUUUGUUCUAGUUGACUUAAAAGGCAUGCUUUUGUUGAUUCAGAAUUGGAAUAGUGUCUUGUGAGCACCAAAUUUACAUACGAGCUGCAAGUAGAUUUGUACAAUCUUCAUGUGAAUUACAAGGUAUGUACUCCCUAUUUUCAUGCAGGUUAGUAACCAUGGCUUGCAGAAUGUCGGUGUUCCUUAUAUUCUAUUUGCAAAGCCUCAUAUAUUGGAGGUUCCUAUAAUUGGUUCAAAAAACACAUAGAUAGUAGCUGCCAAUUUGUUUCUUGUCUUGCCCGACUGAUUGAUGAUUAUUCUAAAAUGACUGAUCAUCAUUGCCGAGGAAUUACUAUGUACUAAUAUGUGCUCCAAAUCUAUGUAUGAUCUACAAUUAUAAGGUUGCAGUAGCAAGAUCGGAAAAUAGAUAAACGAGGUGCUCUCUUUGCUGAUCCUUCAUAUUUGGUAUUUGCAUGUAGUUAUGCCAACUAAAUAAAAACGUUUCCACGUGGUUGUUAGUAAUUGUAUAUGUAGAAAUCAGUACCAGGAAGUUGUGGUUCAGAUUGACAACACAUUAUUUGCUACACAUCUCUUGUGAUUCAUUCUGUUCAUCUUAGAUAAAAAAUGUCUUUAUUUAAUGUCCAACUAAACCAUAGGAAACAAUUACUAGUUGUUCAUUUUAUGAAUGCCUCAUUGAUACCCAGGUAAUAUGUGUUUUCCUUCUGAAAUUCAUGUUUUUCAAGGAAAAAACUUAAUGUGCUCUGGCCUUCUAAUGAAUUGCUUGUAGGAGGUCCCUGGAAUGGAUUUUCACAUAGUUGCAACCUCACCGAAGCAAAACCAAAGCAUGUUGUUCUGUUAGAAAACAAAUUUAAUUUUGGAGUUCAGAAACCAAAGCAUGCAACCUCCUUGAAGCGAGACCAAAUCAUAUCAAACAUUACAUCAAUGUGGUCUUUACAGUUUUCUCAUUUCUUGUAUAUAUUCCUUAAACAGGGAAACCAGUAUAGGCCAAACAAAAUACAUUUGAUGUAUGCCGAGAUAUGCCACUCCUUUACUUAAUGCCUAUUUAAGUAAGUGCUUCUCAGUUUCUCAAAGUUUGGAAUAUGUAGGCUGUGUUGAAAGAUGAAACAAAUGUCGAACCCAAUGUUCAGGCCUCUGUUCUUGAGCAUUUUGAAAAUAUGAAAUGUUGUCCCUUUUCCUGUUUUUGUUUAAAACUUCAGAUGUUGUUCCUUCUCCUGUUAGCAUGUGGCCUUGCUGGUGUGAAUGGUUUAAUAAUGUCUUUAUUGCCGAUUUCUUUAGUCUGGCGAACUUCCUUUGUUAAUGGAGAUGGCUUAUCUUCAGUUUGAGGCAAGAAAUUUGAUUUCAAAGAGUAGUCAACCAACAUCCAGUAAAUCAAAGCCCAAAAUUCCAUUAAUUUGAAUCAAGGUAAAAUAUCAGGAGAAGUCAUUUGCGACAACGAUGGUAUACGAAAAACUGAAAGUUCUCAUAUUGUUCUGCAAGUAGAUUACUCUGGAUUUUGAAGAAUGUUAAGUAGAAAUUAUACUUACAGUGUCCGGCCGAACUUCGUGAAACCAUUACAAGUUCAUCUUCUGAACUUCUUCUGGGAUCUGGAUCCAUACUGUGUACUAUUUAGGUUAGGAGCAGACCAGAGCUCCGUUUCACUUUUCUCAACAGAGUUUCCGUUAUGCAGUCCACUUGAACCUGUCGGGGGAAAGUUGCCGCAUCCAUCUCCGAGAAGUAGGCAAGUUCGUUGUGUAAGCCAGGAGUGUAUGCGGUUGCACACAGAGGUGAUCUAUUUAGUUUUAACAGAGUGCAGUGUAUUUUUUUUAAACUGUUGUGUUUUAAUUCAAAAUAGGCUUAGCACUGCAAACCACUUCUGAACACCUUGGUCUUGAUGUGUACAUUUUUUGUAGUUCAGAUGGGUGGUUGGUAUGUACACUUGCCAAAAAAUAAAAAAGUAUACAGCAUUUUUUGUAGUUCAGAUGGGUGGUUGGUGUACAGCUCAUGUGCAUGCUUGUGAUGCUCCAAUGUAAAUUACAGCAAUGUUCUUGCAUGGAAGCAUCAAAAGAAAUGUGUUCAGAGAUCUUUGGUUCGUUAUAGUACAGAACAUCAUUCGCUACAGUUAUUUAUCAAGUUGUUUCUCUCAUACUUAAUACUCCUAUUAUAGAGUUAUAAUUAUUUUUAUCAAUGAACAAUCAUGCAACAGAUACAUAAAUGAUGGAAGAGCACAGGUGAGAAAACAGGGCACAAUAGAGAAGAUAGGGCAGGACGGAAUUCAGACAGACCUCAAGGUCCGCUUUGCAAAAUGUACCCGCAGCUCCCAUUGCCCUGCAUCCUGUCCCUUUCUUUUUAAUCUAAUGGCUCGGGUUGUAUCGGAGUACUUGGUGCACCAGUUCAUCGGGUGCACAGGAUACGUUCUCUUGCUUGACAUAUCCAUUUAGUGCCAUUUUACAAUGUUAGAUAGAAGACAUGUUCUCCUGUGUUUUUGAUUUGUGGU